rnacentral:rRNA from 1 species
ACCAGACUCCUACGGGAGGCAGCAGUGGGGGAUAUUGCACAAUGGGGGGAACCCUGAUGCAGCGACGCCGCGUGAGGGAAGACGGCCUUCGGGUUGUAAACCUCUGUCGCAGGGGACGAAGAAGAUGACGGUACCCUGUGAGGAAGCCACGGCUAACUACGUGCCAGCAGCCGCGGUAAUACGUAGGGGGCACGCGUUAUCCGGAUUUACUGGGUGUAAAGGGAGCGUAGACGGCAAUACAAGUCGGAAGUGAAAUACCCGGGCUCAACCUGGGAACUGCUUUGGAAACUGUAUGGCUGGAGUGCUGGAGAGGUAAGCGGAAUUCCUAGUGUAGCGGUGAAAUGCGUAGAUAUUAGGAGGAACACCAGUGGCGAAGGCGGCUUACUGGACAGUAACUGACGUUGAGGCUCGAAAGCGUGGGGAGCAAACAGGAUUAGAUACCCUCGUAAU